UCCUUAGCAGUUAAUUGAGUAGCAGAAUAAUGGUUUCCUUACAGAAAGGCUCGCAGACUGCACAGAGAGGUUGAUGCCUCUUUAGUCGCUGGGAACUUCAGUGACAUUCAAUAAUGAAAAGCUGUAGGAUUAUCAAGGAAAAAAGUGACAUUUGAGAAGGUCUAAAAGGGCAUAUUGUUAAAUGGGGAAAAGUCAGAUCCCAAACUACAUUACAUAUGAUUCCAUUUAUGUCAAGUUCAAAAACUGGAAGCACUGAUAUACGCUGUUAGAAGACAGGGCAGUGAGAUGAGGAGAAAAAAG